rnacentral:rRNA from 1 species
GAUGAACGCUGGCGGCGUGCCUAAUACAUGCAAGUCGAGCGAACAGACGAGGAGCUUGCUCUUCUGUUGUUAGCGGCGGAUGGGUGAGACACACGUGGCUAACCCUCAUCUAUGACUGAGACCACUUAGGGAAACCGGAGCUCCUGAUGGAUAACAUGAUCAAACGCAUGGUUCUAGAAUGAUAGAUGGUCUUGCUGUCAAUUCUCGGUGUAUCCGCGCCGCUUUAGCUAGUUGGGAAGGUAACGGCUUACCAAGGCAACGACGCGUAGGCGAGAUGAGAGAGUGAUCGGCCACACGAGAACGGAGACACGGUCCAGACGCCUACGAGAGGCAGCAGUAGGGAAUCUUCCGCAAUGGGCGAAAGCCUGACGGAGCAACGCCACGUGAGAUGAGAAGGUCCUCGGUGCGGAAAGCUCUGUUAUGAGUUGAGAACAAAUGUGAAUGUAACUAUGCACGUCUUGACGGUACCUGAACAGAAAGCCACGGCUAACUACGUG